rnacentral:misc_RNA from 1 species
CCGAGUGAGGGUUCCGGCCCGAUCUCCAACCCUAUGUGAAAUCGACCGAUUUGCCUCGGGGGGCGACCCGGCCUCGCGGCCGGCAGAGUCCCCCGCAGGACACCAUCAAACUCUUGCGUAUCGUGCGUCGGAGUGUGAAGCAAAUUAAAGCA